rnacentral:rRNA from 1 species
ACUGCGAAUGGCUCAUUAAAUCAGUUAUUGUUUAUUUGAUGGUACCUUUACUACUUGGAUAACCGUGGUAAUUCUAGAGCUAAUACAUGCUAAAAACCCCGACUCAAGAAGGGGUGUAUUUAUUAGAUUCAAACCAGUGUCCCUCGGGACUUUUUGGUGACUCAUAAUAACUUAACGCAGCGCAUGGCCUUCGUGCCGGCGCGGGAUCAUUCAAAUACCUGCCCUAUCAAGUUUCGAUGUGAGGGUAGUGUCCUCACAUGCUUUUGACGGGUAACGGGGAAUUAGGGUUCGACUCCGGAGAGGGAGCCUGAGAAACGGCUACCACAUCCAAGGAAGGCAGCAGGCGCGCAAAUUACCCAAUCCCGAUACGGGGAGGUAGUGACAAGAAAUACCGAUUCAGGAUCUUAUUGGAUCUUGAGAUUGGAAUGAGUACAAUUCAAACCCAUUAACGAGGAACAACUAGAGGGCAAGUCUGGUGCCAGCAGCCGCGGUAAUUCCAGCUCUAGUAGCGUAUAUUAAAAUUGUUGCAGUUAAAACGCUCGUAGUUGAACUUUGGGCUUGGCUGGCUGGUCCGCCUCACCGCGAGCACUGGUCCGGCUGGGCCUUUCCUCUUGGGGAUCCACAUGCCCUUCACUUGGGUGUGUUGGGGAACCAGGACUUUUACUUUGAAAAAAUUAGGGUGUUCAAAGCAGGCAUUUGCUCGAAUACAUUAGCAUGGGAUAAUAGAAUAGGACGUGUGGUCUUAUUUUGUUGGUUUCUAGGACCGCCGUAAUGAUUGAUAGGGAUAGGUUGGGGGCAUCGGUAUUCAAUUGUCAGAGGUGAANUUCUUGGGAUUUAUUGAAGACCAACUACUGCGAAAGCAUUUGCCAAAGAUGUUUUUCAUUAAUCAGGGAACGAAAGUUAGGGGAUC